CAGUCGCCGCGGUAAUGCGAAGGGGGCUAGCGUUGUUCGGAAUCACUGGGCGUAAAGGGAGCGUAGGCGGCGUGGUAAGUCAGAUGUGAAAUCCCGGGGCUCAACCCCGGAACUGCAUCCGAUACUGCCAUGCUAGAGGAUUGGAGAGGUAGCUGGAAUUCUUGGUGUAGCAGUGAAAUGCGUGGAGAUCAAGAGGAACACUCGUGGCGAAAGCGAGCUACUGGACAAUAACUGACGCUGAGGCUCGAAGGCCAGGGUAGCGAAAGGGAUUAGAUACCCCUGUAGUCCCUGUCUCUUAUAC
rnacentral:rRNA from 1 species